GGAAAGAUCCACGGCAGAAAUGUUUGGAAUUUUUCCGAGUUGUGAAGGUAUCGUGCCAUUUAUGAAGUUACGGCUUAAAUCAAGUUGUCUCAAAAAUAUAAGGUUGCCUAUCUCCGAUGGAAUGCUUCCGCUUAAACUGUUGUGGCUUAAUACCAAGUUCAGUAACUGCGAGCAAUUCAUGAGUUCUGGAGGAAUGGAGCUGCUGAGCUGAUUAUAACCAAGAUUUAAAGAGGUGAGGUUGGUUAAAUAACCAAUUGUUGGAGGAAUGGGUCCAAUUAGAUUGUUCCCGUCAAGGGACAGAGAAUCAAGAUACUUCAGAUUUCCAACUUCCCGAGGCAGCAGACCACUAAGUUGGUUUGAAGAAAGAUCCAGAGAUGUUAAUUUGGUUAAAUUUCCUAUGGUCGGUAGAAUUGGACCAUUAAGUCUGUUGUGAGACAAGUCCAACUCAUCCAACAAGUUUAAAUAACCAAUGGUCGAAGGAAUAGAUCCAGUGAGAUUGUUCCUAUUCAGAAGCAAACGAUCAAGAUUCUUCAGAUUUCCAACUUCUUUAGACAGUGGACCAACAAGAUUGUUGUAAGCCAAGUACAAAAUGCUUAACUGAUUUAAAUGAUAAAGUGUUGAAGGAAUAGGCCCAGUUAGAUGGUUAUUAUCCAGAAACAGAGCGUCAAGAUUCUUCAGAUUUCCAACUUCUUGAGGCAGCCGACCACUAAGUUGGUUUAAAGAAAGGUCCAAAUGUGUCAAGUUAGUUAAAUUACCUAUGCUCGAUGGAAUUAGACCAUCCAGUUUGUUACCCUGCAACCUCAGUUCAUCAAGAUCCUUCAAAUUCCCAAAUUCUAAUGGGAUAGAACCAUUGAGAAUGUUAUUAGACAGAUCCAGUUUGAGAAGAUUCCUCAAACUCCCAAUCUCCGCGGGGAUAGUACCUAUCGUGUGUAUAUAUAUGCAUAUGAUUAAUUAACGAUAAAUAAGCAAUAAUAUCCGGUACAGAUAGGAAAUUAUUGUAUAUGCAAUGAAAUUAUAUAUAAUGGUUACCUGUAAGACUGUUAUCGGACAGGAAAAGCUCCUCGAGUUUUGAAAGAGCACCAAUUUCUGAUGGCAUCCUUCCUGAAGAAAAAAAGGAAAACAAAAAUAAUGUGUAUGAUUAAUUAAUGAUAAAUGAGCAAUAUUAUCCAGCACCGAUAGGAAAUUAUUGUAUAUGCAAUGAAAUUAUAUAUAAUGGUUACCUGUAAGACUGUUAUAGGACAAGUGAAGCUCCUCGAGUUUUGAAAGAGCACCAAUUUCUGAUGGCAUCCUUCCUAACGAAAAAAAGGAAAAAAAAUAAUGUGUAUGAUUAAUUAAGGAUAAAUGAGCAAUAUUAUCCAGUACGGCUAGGAAAAUAAUGUGUAUGCAUUGAAAUUAUAUAUAAUAGUUACCUGUAAGACGGUUAGAGGACAGGUCAAGCACUUUGAGUCUUGAAAGAGCACCAAUUUCUGAUGGUAUCCUUCCGGAAAGAAGAGUGCCCCGAAUGCUGAAAGUUACGAGGUUGGGAAAGCAAGUGAAGUUGAGUUGGCUAAGCUCUGCUCCGGUGAAAUUAUUAUCCAUCUCGUCAGAACUUAUCCAGACUACGCUUCCUGCUGAAUUGCAAGUGAUUCCUAUCCACUUGCAAUGAUCUGAAGUAUAGUUGGCCGUCGCCCGACUGCUAUUCCACCAGCCUGAAUUAAGUAAAGCUUCCCUUUCUAACUGUAUGGCUGACGAUGCAGCAGAUGCUGUUACAACUGCAUUAUCAGUUAUAACAGGAACAAUAAUACUGCUUAUAAAAGUUAUAAUGACCACCAAUUUUGAAAUGGAGGAAUCCGGUGCCAUUUUUA
rnacentral:lncRNA from 1 species